rnacentral:rRNA from 1 species
AUGUACAUUAACAAGGGGGGGAGGAGAAAGGAAGAGGGAGGUGCGGUGGUGGUUGGUUCACCGGUCCGGUGGCACUGGAUUGGCACCAGCACAGAGCUCCUGCUUACGGAAACGACGAUCCGUUCUUGGGGAUGCGAAGAUCCAGGGAGGCACUCUCCCGUUCAGUUCUCCUUGCUAUCGGUUCAGGGCCAUGCCACAGCAGGCUGGCUUUCACGGGAUUGGCAUUGGUGGCGCAGUCAAUACUACCUACAGAAGUGCCACCAACUUGCACCAAGCUAUUGCGUCAAGGGGGGAGGAGAAAGGAAGAGGGAGGUGCGGUGGUGGUUGGUUCACCGGUCCGGUGGCACUGGAUUGGCACCAGCACAGAGCUCCUGCUUACGGAAACGAAGAUCCGUUCUUGGGGAUGCGAAGAUCCUGGGAGGCACUCUCCCGUUCAGUUCUCCUUACUAUCGGUUCAGGGCCAUGCCACCGCAGGUGAAAGUUAAUCCCCUUCUGGGCUGGCAGACGUGA